rnacentral:rRNA from 1 species
GAACGAGAAAGUGGAGCAAUCCAUGAGUAAAGUGGCGACCGGGUGAGUAACACGCGACUACCUGCCUCCGAGUGGGGAAUAACUCCGGGAAACCGGGGCUAAUACCGCAUAACAUCGCAAGAUCAAAGCAGCAAUGCGCUUGGAGAGGGGGUCGCGGCUGAUUAGCUAGUUGGCGGGGUAACGGCCCACCAAGGCGAAGAUCGGUAUCCGGCCUGAGAGGGCGCACGGACACACUGGAACUGAAACACGGUCCAGACUCCUACGGGAGGCAGCAGUGGGGAAUUUUGCGCAAUGGGGGAAACCCUGACGCAGCAACGCCGCGUGGAGGAUGAAGCCCUUUGGGGCGUAAACUCCUUUCGACCAAGACGAUAAUGACGGUACUGGUGGAAGAAGCACCGGCUAACUCUGUG